AAGGGUGUAGCUCAGUGGUAGAACACAUGCUUAGCAAGCAUGAGGUCCUAGUUCAAUCCCUAGUACCUCCA
rnacentral:tRNA from 1 species